rnacentral:rRNA from 1 species
GAUGAACGCUAGCGAUAGGCUUAACACAUGCAAGUCGAGGGGCAGCAUGGUCUUAGCUUGCUAAGGCUGAUGGCGACCGGCGCACGGGUGCGUAACGCGUAUGCAACUUGCCUCUCAGAGGGGGAUAACCCGUCGAAAGACGGACUAAUACCGCGUACACUCUAUGUUGGGCAUCCAAUGUAGAGGAAAUGAAAUUCGCUGUGAGAUAGGCAUGCGUCCCAUUAGCUAGUUGGUGAGGUAACGGCUCACCAAGGCGACGAUGGGUAGGGGAACUGAGAGGUUGAACCCCCACACUGGUACUGAGACACGGACCAGACUCCUACGGAAGGCAGCAGUGAGGAAUAUUGGUCAAUGGGCGAGAGCCUGAACCAGCCAAGUCGCGUGAAGGAUGACUGUCUUAUGGAUUGUAAACUUCUUUUAUACGGGAAUAACAAGAGUCACGUGUGGCUCCCUGCAUGUACCGUAUGAAUAAGCAUCGGCUAACUCCGUG